CCUACGGGUGGCAGCAGUGGGGAAUAUUGGGCAAUGGGCUCAAGCCUGACCCAGCAACGCCGCGUGAAGGAAGAAUGCUUUCGGGUUGUAAACUUCUUUUCUCAGGGACGCAGCAAGUGACGGUACCUGAGGAAUAAGCCCCGGCUAACUACGUGCCAGCUGCCGCGGUAAUACGUAGGUGGCCAGCGAUAUCCGGAUUUACUGGGGUGACAGGGCGUGUAGGCGGGAAAGCAAGUCAGAUGUGAAAACCAUGGGCUCAACCUGUGGCCUGCAGUUGAACCUGUUGUUCUUGAGUACUGGAGAGGCAGACGGAAUUCCUAGUGUAGCGGUGAAAUGCGUAGAUAUUAGGAGGAACACCAGUGGCGAAGGCGGUCUGCUGGACAGCAACUGACGCUGAGGCGCGAAAGCGUGGGGAGCAAACAGGAUUAGAUACCCGAGUAGUC
rnacentral:rRNA from 1 species